rnacentral:rRNA from 1 species
UACGUAGGGACCGAGCGUUGUCCGGAAUCAUUGGGCGUAAAGAGCGUGUAGGCGGCCUGUUAAGUCUUGCGUGAAAUCUCGGGGCUCAACCCCGAGCGGUCGUGAGAAACUGGCAGGCUAGAGUGCGGGAGAGGAGAGUGGAAUUCCUGGUGUAGCGGUGAAAUGCGCAGAUAUCAGGAAGAACACCCGUGGCGAAGGCGGCUCUCUGGAACGCAACUGACGCUGAGACG